CAGUAGCCACGGGAAUACGUAGGUGGCAAGCGUUGUCCGGAAUUAUUGGGCGUAAAGGGCUCGCAGGCGGUUUCUUAAGUCUGAUGUGAAAGCCCCCGGCUCAACCGGGGAGGGUCAUUGGAAACUGGGAAACUUGAGUGCAGAAGAGGAGAGUGGAAUUCCACGUGUAGCGGUGAAAUGCGUAGAGAUGUGGAGGAACACCAGUGGCGAAGGCGACUCUCUGGUCUGUAACUGACGCUGAGGAGCGAAAGCGUGGGGAGCUAACAGGAUUAGAUACCCCAGUAGUCCCUGUCUCUUAUAA
rnacentral:rRNA from 1 species